AUUGAACGCUAGCGGGAUGCUUUACACAUGCAAGUCGAACGGCAGCGCGGACUUCGGUCUGGCGGCGAGUGGCGAACGGGUGAGUAAUGUAUCGGAACGUGCCCAGUAGCGGGGGAUAACUACGCGAAAGCGUAGCUAAUACCGCAUACGCCCUACGGGGGAAGGAAGGGGUUGGUAGGACCUGGCAUUAUUGGACGGCCGGAUAUCGGAUUAGCUAGUUGGUGAGGUAACGGCUCACCAAGGCGACGAUCCGUAGCUGGUUUGAGAGGACGACCAGCCACACUGGGACUGAGACACGGCCCAGACUCCUACGGGAGGCAGCAGUGGGGAAUUUUGGACAAUGGGGGCAACCCUGAUCCAGCCAUCCCGCGUGUGCGAUGAAGGCCUUCGGGUUGUAAAGCACUUUUGGCAGGAAAGAAACGUCGCGGGCUAAUACCCCGUGGAACUGACGGUACCUGCAGAAUAAGCACCGGCUAACUACGUG
rnacentral:rRNA from 1 species